rnacentral:rRNA from 1 species
AUUGAACGCUGGCGGCAUGCUUUACACAUGCAAGUCGGACGGCAGCACAGAGAAGCUUGCUUCUUGGGUGGCGAGUGGCGAACGGGUGAGUAACAUAUCGGAACGUACCGAGCAGUGGGGGAUAACUAAUCGAAAGAUUAGCUAAUACCGCAUAUUUUCUGAGGAAGAAAGCAGGGGACCUUUGGGCCUUGCGCUGUUUGAGCGGCCGAUAUCUGAUUAGCUAGUUGGUGGGGUAAAGGCCUACCAAGGCGACGAUCAGUAGCGGGUCUGAGAGGAUGAUCCGCCACACUGGGACUGAGACACGGCCCAGACUCCUACGGGAGGCAGCAGUGGGGAAUUUUGGACAAUGGGCGCAAGCCUGAUCCAGCCAUGCCGCGUGUCUGAAGAAGGCCUUCGGGUGGUAAAGGACUUUUGUCAGGGAAGAAAAGGGCGGGGUUAAUACCCCUGUCUGAUGGCGGUACCUGAAGAAUAAGCACCGGCUAACUACGU